CGUGUAUUCCGGCAGUGAGUCGGCGGGGGAUAAGCUCCGUCGUCGAGAGGGAGACAGCCCAGACCGUCGUCUAAGGUCCCGAAGCGUGUGCUAAGUGGGAAAGGAUGUGGAGUCGCAUAGACAGCCAGGAGGUUGGCUCAGAAGCAGCCAUCCUUGAAAGAGUGCGUAACAGCUCACUGGUCUAGUGGUUCCGCGCCGACAAUGUAGCGGGGCUCAAGCACACCACCGAAGACGCGGCAGCAAUCUUCAUGGUUGCUGGGUAGGAGAGCGUCCUGCGAGGGGCGAAGCGGCCGGGUAACCGUGCCGUGGACUUCGUGGGAGUGAGAAUGCAGACAUGAGUAGCGAGAGACGGGUGAGGAUCCCGUCCGCUGGAUGACCAAGGGUUCCGGGGCCACGUUCGUCGUCCCCGGGUGAGUCGGGUCCUAAGGCGAGGCCGACAGGCGUAGUCGAAUGGAUGAACGGGUGGAUAUUCCCGUACCGACCAUGGACCGGCAAAACCGAGACGGUGAGUACUAACCUCCGCCUCGUGGUGGUUCCUUCCUUCGGGUUGGUGUCGCCGCGUGGUGUUGGGACUGUAGCCGUAGUAGGUCAGCGCAGGGGUGACACGGAAUGGGAGCCGGCCGCGGAGGUGGUUUUCCGUGGUCAAGCACGCAGCCAGUCAUGUAGGCAAAUCCGCAUGGCGCGCAUGGCGAGGUGUGAUGAUGGGAGCCGUUAUGGCUCGAUAUCCGGUUGUCCAGGCCGUCGAGAAAAGCCUCGGCGUGAGGGCCAUGGCCGCCCGUACCCCAAACCGACACUGGUGGUCAGGUAGAGAAUACCAAGGCGAUCGAGCGAAUCCUGGUCAAGGAACUCGGCAAAUCACUCCCGUGCCUUCGGUAUAAGGGAGACCCGCUGGGGUGAACCGGCUAGCCCGGGGAGCUUUGGUGGGUGGCACAGACCAGGGGGUAGCGACUGUUUACCAAAAACACAGGUGCAUGCGAAGGCGAAAGCCGCUGUAUAUGCACUGACGCCUGCCCGGUGCCGGAAGGUUAAGAGGAUCCGUCAACUCUUCGGAGCGAAGCGGUGAAUUCAAGCCCCGGUAAACGGCGGUGGUAACUAUAACCAUCCUAAGGUAGCGAAAUUCCUUGUCGGGUAAGUUCCGACCUGCACGAAUGGCGUAACGACUUCCCCACUGUCUCGACCAGGAGCUCGGCGAAAUUGCAGUACGAGUAAAGAUGCUCGUUAAGCGCAGAAGGACGAAAAGACCCCGGGACCUUUACUAUACCUUGGUAUUGGCGUUAGGCGCGGAUUGUGUAGCAUAGGCGGGAGGCUUCGAAGCGGGUGCGCCAGCAUUCGUGGAGCCGCAAGGUGAAAUACCGCUCUGUUCUCGUUUGACGUCUAACCUCGACAAGUCAUCCUUGUCAGGGACAGUGCCUGGCGGGUAGUUCAACUGGGGCGGUUGCCUCCCAAAGAGUAACGGAGGCGCUCAAAGGUCCGCUCAGCCCGGUUGGCAAUCGGGUGUCGAGUGUAAUCGCACAAGCGGGCUUGACUGCGAGGACGACGGUCCGAGCAGG
rnacentral:rRNA from 1 species